UGCGGAGGCUUCUCCACUGGGAACUCUAGCACAAAGGCCAGAGAUCAAAAAGACACAAAAGCAAAGGGAUGAUUCCUCCAGCCAAGAUUAAGAGAUGUUUGUGAAAUACAGUGGAAAGGCUGCCCCUGCUCUUUCAGUGGAUAAAGGGAGGAGAGGAGUCUUUUAACAGCAGAAAAAAAACACAACAUACCAACAAACCUUAAUGCCAAAAUACUAUUUAUGGUGCAAUUACUCGCUCCUCAAGGAAAGAUGUUGACUGAGAAAAUUCUAUAUAUGUUGCAAACUGGAAAACACAGGGAGAUGUGAAAGAUACUUUUUAGAUAUAACUUCGUUGCUAUUGACAGGAGUUGUUUAUUAGCAAUAAGAUAAAAGUGUCUCAAACUAAGGCCUGGGAGACAAGGAUUUUGUAUGGCUGUUACGCCAGUGAUUGUUAAAUGUAAAAAUCAGCUCUUUAUAGUAGAUUAUAGGUCAAAGAACUUCUUUUAUUAUUUUCAUUACAGAGGAUGAAACUCAGAUGGCUUUCACAAAAGAAAGAAAAAAAAAGUGAGAAAAAAACACAUUUUAAAAUAGGCUCAGAAGAUGGGCUUUUCUGUAUAUGGAAUACUGUAGGCUUGGUGUCGUUCAAGUGCUUGUGCCUUUUCUCAUGCUCUCAGUGUCUCGUGCAGUACGUCCAAAGGCAGAUAGCGGAUUUGCAGGUGCAUGUUCCUUUAGUGAGAAUAGUCCUCGCAUCAACUAGUUCAUGCACAGCUGAGAAGUGCAUACACGGGGAGCUGUGCACUUGUAAAGGUGCAGAGCAGGAAAAAAACUAGCAAAGAUGAAGAUCAGUAUAUGAUGUGGUAGAAUAUUAUAAUUAGGGAACAGCUGUGAAUCUUUAGAGUAGGUAAGCUAUUUGUUAUGUAUUUGUUCGUGCUCAGGUAUUUUGUCACUCAACUCAUCAUGGAAAUUACUGCUGAAGGAAUUCCAACUGUAUUAGAAGUUAGCAUCUAUUCUUGCUUGUUUAGAAGCAGGAACAGUAUCCUGAUUUCAGAUGAAAUCGCUAUAGAGGCAUCCAUAUCUUAAGGCAUGAUCUGUAAGUGUAGCAUAUCAUAGCACAUCUGCUUUCUUCAAAGAUUCUCUCAAACAAGUUUGCAAAAUUUACUGAUCUUUUUCCUUACUUUCAUUUCCCUCCUGUGCUUGAGUCUCAGAUGCAAACCUCAGUGAGAGAAGACAAUGCUCAGGUUAUUUAACAGACUUUUUUUCUCAUGUCGUAGUACAAAACUGACAAAUUCCUUUGUCUAACACUUGGCUAUUCAGAUAACCUCUAUAGUUAGAGAAGGAAAUGCAAGUUAAAGAUGCAAAUACUGAAAGAAUUUUAUCAAGUGCAAAGCAGAAACAUUUUUAAAGAUAGCUGUCAUGUCUUGCUGCUCAACUGAUCUUACUUCGUCAUUCCCAAGUCCUGGUAUAUGCUCAGAACAACCUAGAAGUAAAUAUAUUUUGUUUCUGAGAUCAUUUCUGAAUCACAGAACAGGCAGUAACUGGGGGUGAUGUUGGAUUAACAAGCAAAGACCUAUCAUCCCACUGCAGUUCUUUAACAGGAUUGCAGUUCCUUCAAAUCAAUUCCCAUUGAUUCUCAAGGCCAGAGACUGUCCCCUGUAUAAUUUGUUUUACUUGUGGCAACAGAUAUUUGCCUGUCUAUUCUUUGAGUUGUCCAUUAUUAACAAGCUAAUGUUUAUUCUAACAAAUGAGCAUCACUGUAUUUUCCUGCAGGUACCAUUCCCAUGUAUAAGGAUGCUUCAACAGUGGAAGCUGGCUCUGUUCUUCCUCCCAUGCUUGCUUACCUGACUCUUUAAUGAAAUGCAUAACUUAACAAUUCUUAUUUCUCAUGCUGCAGAGCCAUGCAAAACACAGUUGGACUUCUGGAUUUGACCCACGGCAUUAACAAAUGGGAGAUACAUCUUCUCACUGUAAGCUGAGUGCAUUGGAAAUGGUACCCACUGGGAAGCAAUAAACACGGUUCCUAACCAUGCUGAUUUUAUAGUAAUUUUCCAGAGUGCAGCUGUGGUUUAAAACUUUGUGCAGGUCUCUGUAAUCUUCUUUUAUUAAAAAAUAAAAAAUAAAAAGGAAAAGAAAAAGAAAAAGAAAAAAUAAACCCAACUUUAAUUGUUCUUCCACAGUAAUUGUUCUCUUGAAAUUUGUGAUGUGCAAGAAGAAUGUCAGUUAAUUAACAUUCGACACUCCAAAUAGAUUCCUACAAAAACUAUUUAUAAACCCAGCAGCAAUUAAAAAGAACAUAUUUUCCAGUUACUACAGCAUACAUAUGUAUAUACUCAGAUAAAGCUAAUUUGUGCAUUCUUCCACCGUUCAUCUCUUAAGAUACAGAACUCAAAGUUCGUUUUCAGAUUGACUGGUGAAUUUGAUCUGUUUUGGGGAAAUGUGUACAUAAGUGCUUAUAGGCUAUUAGUAAAACUGGUGAGCCUUCAAAGCAAUUUUAUGUGAGGCAAAGGAUCCUAGAAGGCAGACUUGGUAUCAGUUGUGCUUGCAAAACCUUCUUGAAUGAUCUACAACAAAGCAAAAAAAUCAAACUAAAAGACAUUCUUAAAGGACUGAGAAAUUCUGCCUGGUGAAUAUGUCAUUAAGUUAUACUUACACCAGCACUCUGGACAGAAGCAUUUAUUAUACUGGGAUUUGCUUGGGUUACAGUCAGUUUAUAAUCAUAAAGGGCUUCCCUGAAGGUCCACCGUAGAAAAUGGAUUACUUUCUUUCUAGUUUAAUGGAGUCCAACAAGCCUCAGGAGUAACCAAGUAGGCAUUUUGGCUUUAAAUUUCACAAUGCCUCUCUAAGUAAAAUUUACUUUUAAGGAAUCUCUUUAAUAACUACUUUACAGCUCACUUGAACUUUGCUAUCAAGUGAAACUGUCAGUUAUUGUGCAGAAAAUACUGAUUAGGCUAAGUCAAUGAAAAUGUCUGUGGAAAUGUAGGCUUUGUAUUAAAAAACAGUCCACUGGAAAUAAUACUAAAGCAUUUCUAGGUCUUCCAGUUCUGUUAGUCACUGGAUGAGGCCCAGAUACCUGCCUGGAUUCCAGGAUAAAUUAAAAUACUUGUUUAAAUUUUCAGACAGAUUAUUAAUAUAUUAAUUAUAUUUUAUGAUUUUAUAUUUUAAAAGUAUCCUUUAAGCUAUAAAAGCAAAAAAAAUCCACAUCUCUCUGUAAGGCCUAAGUCACUGGGCUCCAUGUCAGGAGGGGAAAAACUGGGCAAGUUAGGGAGGGGAAAUUUUAUCCUAAGCUCAAGAAAGAGUCCUUCUGCUUUUCCCAGCAGCCUGAUACCCCAGCCCUCCACAAUACCACCCUGUCAUGCUUCACCACAGAACCCCCUGAAAAUGGAUAUAGGAUUUGGAUCUUGACAAACUUCUUUAGUGCUGGGUCACACAGGAAGAGGAUGGAGGCACCUCGAUGGCAUGAGUGUAGGAUAAGGCAGGUGGAGGUAGAUCCUCUCUUCUUCCAGUUUCUCUAAUGGCUGCCACUGACACAACUGAACUGUGGAUGGGAAAAGGAACUGCUGCUUCUUGGGGCAGAUGUUUGUGAGUUGGGGGUUGUUAUUUGUAGCAUGUCUCUGUGAAAGGGAUAGGCAGCAAAUAAAAGUUACAACACAGUGAAGAUGAUGCCUGUGUAUGUCAAAUACCCACAAUACCAAAACACUGGAAUAUCAAGCUGGAUGCCUAGGCUGUAAAAGGUUAGUGCUAAGAACAUAAGUUUAUGACUUGGUGCAAUGCAGUACUCUAAGAUGCAGUUUGUAGUUUUGCAAACUGAUAUGCAUAGGGAAGAACAAAGGAUUGCCUUUAAUGCUGUUUCACAUGAAGAAAAAUAUUUUUACAUCCAUUUCAAGUGUGCCUUUUGGUGUCUUUGUGUUUUACGAAAUAAGGCCUGAAAAAUAAUUCUUUCCCCUUGAAAAUCAGAAUAUCUUUUUCUGACUAGGUUUACAUAAAUCUACAAAGCCUUGACCUCUAUGGGAAACUGAGAUUCUCACAGCUCCACUUCUUUCCCCCCGUCGAAAAAUCUCAGCAACUGAGCAGGAACUCAUGACAAAUAUUUUGAGGAAAGCUGCAAUACCCUACCACGUCAAGAAAUCUCACUCUCCAGUUUCCUAGUUUUCUACUUAGUUCUGUGGCAAGAGGAGGAAAAAUUAAGGAUGCAAUGUGCAGGAUGUGCAGGUGUAAUUGCAAUUACCAGCAGCUCUGCCACUGCAGUACAUAAGUUCAGUUCACUGUGAACAUCGUCAGUGACUCCUCAUUUUGGGCUGCCAGAGAUGAAGUUGGUCAAAAUCCCACGUCACUUUUGAAAAUAAUCAAAAUAAAGGAAGCUUAGAAAGAUAAAACAAGAAAAAGAAAAAGAUUAGUUUCAGGAUUUCCUUGUUUAAUAAAUAAAGAAGGUACUAAUACAUUUUUCUGUUUCGUAAGUUACAGGUAAACCAUAUGCACACACUUCAAAGUUCAAACCCUAUGUUUUCACAGGCCAGUCAAAAACAAACCUCACCAAAACGAUUUGAGGUUGUUAUGCUCCCUGCUGUGAUUUCUUCAAGCCAGGCGCCUAGUGCAGAUCUCAUGAUACCAAAUUCCACGUACGCAUGUUGUAACCAUCAGCGGUGGGAUCAAACUGUAGGACCCAGAAAAGCGAGCACAUUGCAUGUUCAGUAAUGGGCUGUAUUAGGUUAUUGAUACUGAAGUCAGCAACACAUUUCCAAUUUGUCUUUUUCCUACAAAUAGGGUUUUUUGGGGGAGCCUGAAGUCUUUUCUUGCAUCUGCACACUCAAGUUGUGAAUUUCAGUAAACUACCUGCCCCUCUUCCUAGGCAGGAAUGGCAGGAAAAGCUGGGUCUCCCUUUGUUCGCUGGAGCUCUGGGAUCAUGAUGUGAGCCCAAAUCCUUGCUCAUCCUUAGUGGACUCAAGCCAGUACUUUCCUGGAGACUGUCCUGUCUCCAAGAGGGGGAACACUGCCCCUCUCUCCAGAUGAGGAAAGGUCACAGUGAUGGCUGAAAUGCAAUGCAGUUGAGCAUGAGCAGGAAGGCUGGAGAGGAGCUGUGAUUCUGUGGUCCAAGGUGGAGGCUGACCGUCAGUUUGAAGACUGCCUAGGCUAGGUGGGUACACACCGGAUCUUCAGGAACAUCACAUGGAGAUACCCACCACAUAGGCACAUCCCACAUUGGAACCAGACACAUCCUAGGCAGGCUUCCAGGACAUCUAUUGGAUCAGUCCGUGGGAGGCAUAGGCACAGUAUCCCUAGCCCAGUGACUCUCAGGUGACCUUGUGGAGGAUGGGUGUGUAGAAAGCCCACCCAAGAUGGUAGCCCAUCUUCAGGCACUCACAGUGUAUUUCUGCCUUCGAGGAACUGCAGUCCCACAGGUCAACCAGGUCUUAUAUGAUGCCUGAUAAAAAGUAAAUUACUUCCUAACACUAUCAAAAAAGCCUGAAAAAAAUGCACAUGCAAAUAGACUCAAAUACUUGAAAUUCAAAUUCCAACAGUAUAUUCUGUGUUCAUUGCUAUGUUAUUAUUACCAAACCCAUUUUCUUCUCAGAAAACAUAAACUUUCCUGCUUUAAGUUGUUGCAUGAUACAAAGCUAAUUCCAAAUGUGUUGAUCUUUUACUGUAUCUGUCCUGGGUUUAGUUUGUUCAAUUAUUUUUCAUAAAUGCAUUUUACAUCUAACUACCUCAGCUGCCUUUUGUUUUGUUUUGGCGCGUAUGAAGUCAUGCACUUUCUAUAUUCGGGGAUUUGGGGGGAGUUUUUUCCAUUUUGAAUAACCAGGUUCAAAGCCAUGUUGAUCAAUUUAUAGAGGAGAUCAAUUUAACAACAUAUACUUAUUGACAGCUGCAGAACAUACAUUUUAUUUUUAGGUUCUGUUGGAGUAUAGUUUAACAAAAAACACCAUAAGCUGCUUAUUAAUUUGCCUUAAAAAAUGUGUGCUCUUUCCUAUUCAAGUUGUGUUAUUUGACUCUUUUCUUGUACACAAUUUAUGUGGCAGAGAGUAACGUAACAGUUGGCAGAUAAACAGCAAAUUGAACAGAAUGGACCAAUAGUUUCUCAGUUCUCUGUUGAAAACUGUUGCAUUAUACACUGAUUGUGCUAAAAUAAUUGUUACUGUGCUUAUACUCCUUAGUCACCUUUGCAGAAAUGAAGUGACGAAGGAUCGUAUUUGUGUUUAUGGAACAGUGUAGAUAUCCCCCCAGUACAAGCACAGUGACUUGAGGUGAAUGAUAAUCAUUGCAGAACUUGUGCUUUGACUUGUAAACAUUGUAAAAAUGUAUUUGGUAUUUUAUUUGAAAUGAAGAAUCAAAAUAGUUAUUAAAAAAAAAGAAAGAAAUCUUCGUGUAAAUAUAUAUAUUCUGAAUCCAUGUAUACAAACAUUCCUUUAGAGUUCAGAUUGUGAAGAGUGUCUUUAUUGGCUAGAGACCACUGUCCCCCGUGGCAGAGGUUACAUGUGCUAUAGUAAAGAACACAGUGUGUGAAGUAUUUGAUGUACUGCAGUACCAUAGUUCUUUUGGUCUGUUAAGUAAGUUGCAAUUUGUGAUGAAAUGAAGUUGAAAGUAGUGCUUCAUACUAACAAAUUUCCUUGGUUACAACUUGAUUUUUCUUGUAAAACUUAAAAGGAAAACUUGAAAAUUUUAUAUAUUUGGAUUUUGUAGAUUUUUUUUAUUUUAUUGCAACACAAGGUACCAAAAUCAUUAAAUAAAGUACACUGUGGUCAUUUUA